UUAGCUAGUUGGUGGGGUAAAGGCNNACCAAGGCGACGAUCAGUAGCUGGUCUGAGAGGAUGAUCAGCCACACUGGAACUGAGACACGGUCCAGACUCCUACGGGAGGCAGCAGUGAGGAAUUUUCUGCAAUGGGCGAAAGCCUGACAGAGCAAUACCGCGUGANGGAUGAAGGCCUACGGGUUGUAAACCUCUUUUCUCAAGGAGGAAGAUCUGACGUUACUUGAGGAAUAAGCAUCGGCUAACCCUGUGCCAGCAGCCGCGGUAAUACAGGGGAUGCAAGUGUUAUCCGGAAUUAUUGGGCGAAAAGCGUCCGAA
rnacentral:rRNA from 1 species